ensembl:lncRNA
GGAACAGAUUGCACGCAAUGAAUAGGUUUAAAGGGAAACAGGAGACAAAGUUGCUUUUAGAAGAAUCCUGCUUGUUCAACGUAUUGGGCACAUUAUUAUUACUUAUCUAGCACUAACCAUGUGCUAAGCACUGUAUAUUCUCCAAAUAACUCACAGAGGCAGCUCCGCACCAGACCUCUGACUUCUGUGCCUUAGAUGGUCAGGCCUCUCAUCUGUAACCCAACAUGCGAUCCUAGCAGAAUCCAGUCAAAGCCCUAAUGAAGCCCCAUCCUGCAUUUUGCGUUUGAGUCAACACUCUCUAGAAGUGGACAUGAUGUUGGCCUACUCUGGACGGUGGCCGAGUCAGCUCUCGCCAACCUCCCACGUGCCCCAGUGCGCUUGCUAUUUCAGUCACAGUCACCAAGUGCUUCCGUCUGAACCUCUUGAGGCUACAAGAUGAAAACACGAAGUUCAGAGUGAAGAGAGAGGUUCAAAUCUUUCGUCCCCACCCCUACCUGCUUGGACGCCACGUGUCUACACAGAGUUGUGUCCCUCCAUCACGGCAAUUCCCAAUAGACUCCAAUAAACGGUUUCUUCCCUGUGUCCUCUCCACCCUAGCCUGGUCCCUGCUUCCCUCUGUUGCCUCACGUCCCUGGCGUGUCCCCUCACCCUCUCUGCACCUCUGUAUGUGGUCCCUUAAUGGAGGUCUCUUCAUCAGAACCCCGUGCGGUGGAUGGCUUUCCUCCAGGACGGGGAUGGAGCCACUUGUCCAAGAGCAUGCAGCUGAUAACAGAGUGGUGGCUCUGAGAUUCCACACUCUCCAUCUGUCCACUGUCUCUGUCAUCCUUCCCUCCCACCCCUGUUAUCCUGAGAAGCUUAUUUUUUUGAGGAUAAGACAAAGAGAGCUGCAUUGUAUCUUCGAAUGUCUCUGCGUUUCUGACAGGACGUUAGAAGGCAGGCCUUUGUGGAAUCCAGUGAGAACAUGUGCGUUUCACUUCCAAACCUCUAUUCAAGUUAACCCAACUGAAAUCAAUCACCUGAUUCCUUUUGAAAGAAUCUUGUCCAGCUGAAGAUUCAAAGAUGACCAUGGUGAGCUGUGUUAAGCUUCCCAGGGACGCCAUAACGUAAUACAUACAAUGGGCGCUUAAAAGCCAGAAGUCCAAAGUCACGGUGUCAGCAGGGCCAUGUUCCCUCUGAGGCUCUGGGUAGAAUCCUUCCUGGCCUCUUACUAGCUUCUGGUGGUGGCUGGCAAUCUUUGGUGUCCCUUGGCUCGCAGCUGCAUCACUCCAACCUCUGCCUCCAUCAUCACAUGGCCUCCUCCUCUCUGGGUCCAUGUGUCUUCUCUUCUUCUUAUAGAGCACCAGUCCUGUUGUGCCUAGGGCCCACCCCAUUCCAGUUUGACCUCAUCUUUACUAAUCAUAUCUUCAACAGCCCUAUUUCCCAACAAGGUCACUUUCUAAGGUAUUGGGUGGGGGUCAGGACUUGAACAUGUCUUUUUGGGGGACACAAUUUAACCUGUAACAGAGCUAUCACUGAAGACUGGGGAUCAACUUGGUGGGGGUCUGACUGCCGCUCGGAGACUGGUUUAGCAACAAAGAUUUAAGAAAAGAAAACAAUCCGGAGCUGCAGUAAACAUUUAAGGGCAGCAUUUUCUUUUUUUUUUUAAUGACCAUAGGAAAUGUUUACACACAUCGGCUGUCAUCAACUCAUGUUCCCAUGUGGAGUGACGAGGAUAGUGGGAUGGAGACUUAGAGAAGCGGCAGUUGGACAGAUUGUCGUGUUCACAGAACUAUUGGGACCUGCGGAUGCAUUCAGUGUGUGCACAUGUGUGUUCGUGACUGGGGGAUGAUGUAGG